ACGAACGCUGGCGGCGUGCUUAACCCCUGCAAGUCGCACGGAAAGGCCCUGCUUUUGUGGGGUGCUCGAGUGGCGAACGGGUGAGUAACACGUGAGUAACCUGCCCUUGACUUUGGGAUAACUUCAGGAAACUGGGGCUAAUACCGGAUAGGAGCUCCUGCUGCAUGGUGGGGGUUGGAAAGUUUCGGCGGUUGGGGAUGGACUCGCGGCUUAUCAGCUUGUUGGUGGGGUAGUGGCUUACCAAGGCUUUGACGGGUAGCCGGCCUGAGAGGGUGACCGGCCACAUUGGGACUGAGAUACGGCCCAGACUCCUACGGGAGGCAGCAGUGGGGAAUAUUGCACAAUGGGCGGAAGCCUGAUGCAGCAACGCCGCGUGCGGGAUGACGGCCUUCGGGUUGUAAACCGCUUUCGCCUGUGACGAAGCGUGAGUGACGGUAAUAGGUAAAGAAGCACCGGCUAACUACGUG
rnacentral:rRNA from 1 species